rnacentral:rRNA from 1 species
GAUGAACGCUAGCGACAGGCCUAACACAUGCAAGUCGAGGGGCAGCACAAGGAGCAAUCUGAGGUGGCGACCGGCGCACGGGUGAGUAACACGUAUGCAACCUACCUGUAAGAGGGGAAUAACCCGUUGAAAAACGGACUAAUACCGCAUAACACUGUAGAACCGCAUGGUUUGACAGUUAAACAUUUAUGGCUUACAGAUGGGCAUGCGCAUGAUUAGCUAGUUGGUGAGGUAACGGCUCACCAAGGCAACGAUCAUUAGGGGUUCUGAGAGGAAGGUCCCCCACACUGGUACUGAGACACGGACCAGACUCCUACGGGAGGCAGCAGUGAGGAAUAUUGGUCAAUGGGCGAGAGCCUGAACCAGCCAAGUCGCGUGAAGGAUGAAGGUUUUAUGAAUUGUAAACUUCUUUUGCAGGGGAUAAAGUGUCCGACGUGUCGGAUUUUGUAUGUACUCUGCGAAUAAGGAUCGGCUAACUCCGUGCCAGC